UGGGGGAUAUUGCACAAUGGGCGAAAGCCUGAUGCAGCGACGCCGCGUGGGGGAUGAAGGCUUUCGGGUUGUAAACCUCUUUCGCUAUCGAACAAGGCCCGCUUAGGGUGGGUUGAGGGUAGGUGGAGAAGAAGCGCCGGCUAACUACGUGCCAGCAGCCGCGGUAUACGUAGGGCGCGAGCGUUGUCCGGAAUUAUUGGGCGUAAAGGGCUUGUAGGCAGCUUGUUGCGCCUGUUGUGAAAACGCGGGGCUUAACUUCGCGCGUGCAGUGGGUACGGGCAGGCUUGAGUGUGGUAGGUGUGACUGGAAUUCCAGGUGUAGCGGUAGAAUGCGCAGAUAUCUGGAGGAACACCGAUGGCGAAGGCAGGUCACUGGGCCAUUACUGACGCUGAGGAGCGAAAGCAUGGGUAGCGAACAGG
rnacentral:rRNA from 1 species